rnacentral:rRNA from 1 species
GAUGAACGCUGGCGGCGUGCCUAAUACAUGCAAGUCGAGCGAAGCGGCGACGGGUGAGUAACACGUGGAUAACCUCCUAUAAGACUGGGAUAACUUCGGGAAACCGGAGCUAACCCGGAUACUUAUCAAUGGAUCCGCGCUGCAUUAGCUAGGUGGUAAGGUAACGGCUUACCAAGACAACGAUGCAUAACCGACCUGAAAGCGUUAUCGGCCAAACUGGAACUGAGACACGGGCGAGACUCCUACGGGAGGCAGCAGUAGGGAAGCGGCCGACAUGGGCCAAAGCCUGACGUAGCAACUCCGCGUGAGUGAUGAAGGUCUUCGGAUCGUAAAACUCUGUUAUUAGGGAAGCGGUACCUAAUCAGAAAGCCACGGCUAACUACGUGCCAGCAGCCGCGGUAAUUC